CGCUCAAAGGAUAAAAGGUACUCUGGGGAUAACAGGCUGAUACCGCCCAAGAGUUCACAUCGACGGCGGUGUUUGGCACCUCGAUGUCGGCUCAUCUCAUCCUGGGGCUGGAGCAGGUCCCAAGGGUACGGCUGUUCGCCGUUUAAAGCGGUACGUGAGCUGGGUUUAGAACGUCGUGAGACAGUUCGGUCCCUAUCUACCGUGGGCGUUGGAAAUUUGAGAGGAUCUGCUCCUAGUACGAGAGGACCAGAGUGGA
rnacentral:rRNA from 1 species